ensembl:lncRNA
CCUCACCCAGCCUCUGAUUUUGUUGAUGCAGUUUUGCACCCACAAAUAAUAAGGCCCAAUUUUUUCUGCCUGCAGUGAAUUUGGGAUAAAAAUAGUAGUAGUUAGGCUAACUGAUUUAUGGGUACAAUUAGAUGUUUAACUACCAAUAUCUGAAGUUUACACACAAGUGGAGACCAGCUCUGAAAAUCAGCUCCCAAGAGUCUUCCACAGGCUAGAGCUGUUUCCCCUAGAGCUGUUUUCAGAUAAGUAGUAACUGGUAUUUUUGUCCUUUAUAGAAGGAAGCAAAACUGAAUUGUUCAAUGGGAGUUUUCCCUUCUUAAUAAAGAGUACAAGUCAGACAAUUACCUGUUAAGGCUGAAGAUGGAGAAAUCUGGAGAUUUUAGACAAGUGAUGCGAUGGCUUCAUUUGAAUAUUUUACAAAUAUGCAUUACUUCGUUUCCAUAUUUAGCCUUUAUAUUUUUAAUGAGAAAGUUGUUUGUAUUUGCUUUCUCUCAAUGUUGUCAGUUGCUCUGCUAUGGUGGUAGGCAAGCUAUAAAAGUCAAUAAAAAUAAACAAACAAUUUCACUAGAUGUUUAGAUGGCUUUAAGUCCUAAUGAAACAAACCUAAAUACAAAUUGAGGUAAAACAUUUGGCUUUGAUUUUAAAAAUAUUUUUCAGUAACAACAUGACUGGUUGCCUCUUUUUUUCAGAAAAUCCAGCUGCUAUUAAAGGAGAGGAAGUGAGGAGCCAGAGCCCUGCAGCAGGGCUAGGAUCCUGUGGGUCUCACAGGACCCACUGCCAUAAUAAUGGGAGCAGGUCCCACUGGAGAAGCACUGAUAUUCCUGUUUUCUUCAUGAGGAGACACUCUCCGCUGGGCUGUUUCAGACCCAUCUGUCCAGUUUCCAAGAGUUGGAAUCAGACAGCUGGUCAUCACCAGGUCCUGCACUGACAGUGCCACUGAAGUCCCUGAUACACACUGGGAUGGUAGGGCACUCUGCCUCCAAGAGUCCCUGUGGUCUACUCUAUGCACUCUGAGCUCUGACAGAAAGUGAGUACAAGAUGCUUUAUCCACACACUUACCGUCUCUGUGGUCUCAGCUUGUAUACUAGGAAUUUCAAACUCGCAAUUAGGAGUGAGCAACUGGAAUCAGGAGCCUCGUGGGGGAAAAUGGGAAACUUAACAAGUCUAUGACGUUGUGUAAAUGAUGUUAUAAUAACCAAAUCCUGGCCCCUGUCUUAAUCCCAUGUGCAAUCGGGGUCAGUGCAGGAAACCCCCACAUGUUCUCACAGAGAUGAAUCCUACAACAGUGGAUCUGUACAGUUGCAGAUCUACUGGCCAAAUCCAUCCCUCCCUCUGCAAUGCUACAGGGAGAAACACCACAUUGUGACAUUGCACUUUAUAUGAUUUUAUAAAAAUAUGGUAAUGAGUGUGAAUAUAACGUAACUGGAAUAUGCUUCAUGCAAAAGGUUUCUUGUAAGGUAUCAUUACAAAGCUUAUAAUCUACUGAGUGUGGUCAUCCUAUUUGUAUAAAUGUAUCACUCUUGUAUCUGAAACUAGAAAUAUGAAACAUAACUCUGAGGUCCUAUUGUAGUUAUGCAAAGUGUGGGCCAUUAAUGGUGGUUUGGAAUUUUAAUGGCUCCCAUUAACCAGGACAAUUGACUGUAGAUGGCUAUGUUUUACCUGUAAGUCUUCCUGUAUACAUGUGUGCUGGCAAGUGGGUAAUGAAGUCUUACAGUGACAUGUGAUCAUGUCACUUGAACUUGCAUCUAUCUUUAACCUGGUGCUUUCCCAUUGAGAAGGAGGGGUGGGAACCCAGAGGGAUUAUGCAAAAGAUAUAGAAGUGGGUGGAACAGAACAAAGGGGGCGGCCAUCAUGAGAAAUACCCUAGCUACCACCUGCGCUGGAACAAGGGCUGUACCAGGGGAAAGGAUUGUGCCCAGACUAGGAAG